AACGAACGCUGGCGGCAGGCUUAACACAUGCAAGUCGAGCGCCCCGCAAGGGGAGCGGCAGACGGGUGAGUAACGCGUGGGAACGUACCUUUUGGUUCGGAACAACUCCGGGAAACUGGAGCUAAUACCGGAUAAGCCCUAACGGGGAAAGAUUUAUCGCCGAAAGAUCGGCCCGCGUCUGAUUAGCUAGUUGGUGAGGUAACGGCUCACCAAGGCGACGAUCAGUAGCUGGUCUGAGAGGAUGAUCAGCCACACUGGGACUGAGACACGGCCCAGACUCCGCGGGGGGGGAGGAGUGGGAAAUAUUGGAAAGGGGGCGCAGGCCUGAUCCAGCCAUGCCGGGGGGGUGAUGAAGGCUUUGGGGUUGAAAAGCUCUUUUGUCCGGGAAGAUAAUGACUGUACCGGAAAAAUAAGCCCCGGCUAACUUCGU
rnacentral:rRNA from 1 species